UGGGGAAUUUUGGACAAUGGGCGAAAGCCUGAUCCAGCAAUGCCGCGUGCGUGAAGAAGGCCUUCGGGUUGUAAAGCACUUUUGUCCGGAAAGAAAUCCUUGGCUCUAAUACAGUCGGGGGAUGACGGUACCGGAAGAAUAAGCACCGGCUAACUACGUGCCAGCAGCCGCGGUAAUACGUAGGGUGCAAGCGUUAAUCGGAAUUACUGGGCGUAAAGCGUGCGCAGGCGGUUUGCUAAGACCGAUGUGAAAUCCCCGGGCUCAACCUGGGAACUGCAUUGGUGACUGGCAGGCUAGAGUAUGGCAGAGGGGGGUAGAAUUCCACGUGUAGCAGUGAAAUGCGUAGAGAUGUGGAGGAAUACCGAUGGCGAAGGCAGCCCCCUGGGCCAAUACUGACGCUCAUGCACGAAAGCGUGGGGAGCAAACAGGAUUAGAUACCCUGGUAGUCCCACGCCCUAAACGAUGUCAACUAGUUGUUGGGGAUUCAUUUCCUUAGUAACGUAGCUAACGCGUGAAGUUGACCGCCUGGGGAGUACGGUCGCAAGAUU
rnacentral:rRNA from 1 species